rnacentral:rRNA from 1 species
CACGUAGGAGGCGAACGUUAUCCGGAUUUACUGGGCGUAAAGCGCGUGUAGGUGGUUUGGUAAGUAGGGCGUGAAAGCUCCCGGCUCAACUGGGAGAGGCCGUUCUAAACUGCCAAGCUAGAGGAUGGUAGAGGGAGGUGGAAUUCCGGGUGUAGCGGUGGAAUGCGCAGAUAUCGGAAGGAACACCAGUGGCGAAGGCGGCGCCCUGGGGUGGGCCUGACGCUAAGAGACGAAAGCUAGGGGAGCGAACAGG